AUGAGCCUGCGCUAAUGAGGACUGUAAUAGAGCUGCGACUAUGAUAAAUUUGUUGAUUUAAAAGGGUCAUAUGAUGCUUUUUAAUGUUUUCCUUCUUGAUCAUUCGCAUUUUCAGAAUCUGACUCAUCCUCGAACUGAUACUCUAAUACAGAUGACAUUGUUAACCAUUUUUAGAAAUGUUUUAGAAGCCUUGGAAGCUGAAGCUCAUGAUUAUGAUAAGGGCUGUUACAUUACCAAGACGCUUGAGGUGUUUGGCCAGUCACAACGCACUGGGUCAACUGGCCAAUCAGAGCUCUCUGGCUUUUCGGAAGGAGGGGGCUUUGUAGAUAUCAGCGUGUUUCAGACAGACUGGGAAUAGAGGUGCUACAAUAAUGUACAAUGUGUUAAAAAUGUUUAUUUUUACUUUUUAAAGCAUGUUAACCUAUUCUAGUACACCCAAUAGUAGUAAAGCUAAUAGAAUUAAAUGUUUCAAGUCGGUAUGGAGUGGUGAGGGGGGAAAAAAAUGGCCUGUUGGAAAGAGCGACCCUUCACCCCUAUUUUCCUCAACAAACUAGUGGUAGAUGUUGCAACAAAUCCUCUGCAUCCCACCUCUACUGGGAAGAUGCUGGUCUUCCAGCCGUUCUGGGAUGCUUCAACUGCCAGGUUGGAAUAUUUGUUCUUUUUUCUCUCAUAAGCUUCUUCAACCCCAUCUUCCCAUGGUACUGUUAAUUCCACAACAUAUGCCUGCUUUGUUGUUGGAGACCACAGGACCAUGUCUGGCUGGAUUGUUGUAGCCACUGUUUCUGGGGGAAACACAAGCUUCUUAUCAAGGUCCUCUUCCAAUUUCCAAUCCCACGCUGACUGCAGGAUGCUUGUUGUACAAUGCUCUUGAUGUUGGCCAGCUGGUACGAGAUUUGUGAAUUUGACCUGUCCUGCCAAUGUUUGUAGGAGGUUGUUUAUGGUGAUUCGCUUCUGUUCCAGUAUUGAUGCCAGCUCUCUGAGUACUUGGUUAUGCUGCCAAGUAUAGUGCCCUUGGGUGAGACUUUUAGUACACCCUGAUAGAAGGAUGCAGGUACUUGACACAGGGAACAGGCAGGAUCUUCUCCAUACCACUUCACCAUACCAGAUUUUGGGGGGAGGGUAGCAGGUUGUAUGUGGCUCUGAUGACAAAACUCAGCCGCGCUCCCUCCAUCUGCCAGAUGUCACGCCAGCUGAGCUUUUUCUUCUCCAGGCCCUCCCAGUUGGUUCAUCUCCCCUGCUUAGCCAUUGAGAUGGCUUUGGCAUAUCACGCUCCCUCCUCCUGUCUCCUGACUUCUUCUACCACUAGCUGUCUCUUCUGCACUGAUGUUGCUUUGUGCCACAUAGGAGUUUUUGGGAUGAGUCCGAACCCUGAAUUGAAGCGCAGACUUUGCACUCUGAACAGCUUCUGAUGGAUUCCACUUCCUUCCCGCUACCACCCGGGGGGCCGUUGUUCGAAUGACUGCAUCCUCUGAUUCAGUUAGGGUCUUGACGAGCCUUGCUUUGGUGCAUUUGAACUCUUCCACGAGCCCUGUGAUUGGUAAUUCCAACUUGCCAUGCCCAUAAACUCCGACAGAACUUAAACAACGUGGAAUUCCAAGCCACUGCUUCAGCUAUAUGCUUAUCAGCCGUUCCAACUUUUCAACUUUGGUGCUGGGGAUCUCAUACACAAUAAACAAAAUAAUGAACUUUUAAAAUAGCAUUAUAUGACCCUUUAAUACUUUUCAAUUAAGUGGUAAAAAUAGCAUUGGUUUCCUUUUUGUAUGUAUGUAUGUUUGCAUGCCAGUGCCUUUUUAAGUGUCAUGAUGCAGUCAUGUUAAACUUAGUUCAGCUUUGCCAUACGUGUCAAGAGACCACUGUGUUUUUGUUGCGCUCCUUCUAGCUGUUUUUGAACUUAAGGACGUGUCCUGUGUGAAUGCCUGCUUGGACCACAAAAGCAAAUAUACAGGAGUUGGACAAUGAAACUGAAACACUGGCCAAUAUAGUGUUGGAGGUUUCACGCCUAUAUAUGCACCGCCUGGUGACCAAUCUUUACUGAUUUUACAGUCCAUCGGUAAGAGCAUAGUGUGAAGGUUGAAUUAGCAGAGCAAUAGCACAGCUGCACAUGAAAUAUUGCAAUCCACACAACAUAAAGGGAGACAUAUUAGCGUUCAAAAGAGAACAAGUUGUUGGUGCAUGUCUUACUGGCUUAUCUGUGACCAAGACAGCAAGUCUUUAUGGUGUUUUGAACUAGGGACUUCGGGGUGGUACUCGGUGUGUUUCAACCGCAGGAACCAGGGUCUAAAUUAAGUUCUGGGUAAAAAUUCCCCCCUCAGAAAGUCCCUGCUCGUGAGGUAGUACUUUUUUCAAGUUCAGGAACUUUCGAGGGUGGGACUUGGGUGCUGUACAUGCUGAUUGGUUGAGUUCAUGCAGCAUUUUAUUUCAACCACCAUUUUUAAAAGUCUGUUGCGGUGUGUGCAGUAAGAGUUGUUUGCUAUUUGAAUCAAAAUUGGAGUUUAAAAAUUAUGACCGAUUGACCCACAACGAGUUUCAGGCUUUAUUAAGCUUAUAUCAAGCGUACCACACGAGUCCUGAAAAGUGAAGCCAAAGUGUCUUGAUUGCCCCCAGGUGUCUGGAUGCAGUAUAGGUCAUAAACCCCAUCCUCUCCUUGUAAUUUAAUGGGACGUGAGACAAACUAAAUGGUCAAAUUACAUGUCAAAUAUUUUUUUUUCUUCCAAAGAUGGUUUCUGUCAUUUUAGGCAGUUUUUAUCACGCUGAUGUAAGUUAAAAUGUUUGUUCUUUAAAUAAGUUUGUUUUUAGUUAUUUGAUGCUAUAAAAAUGCAGGUUUUGACAUCAUGAUUGACAGCUGAGGUUGACAGCUUCUCUGAGCAAAGUCAUUGGCUUUAACAUUUCAAGAACUGUUUAUUUCACACCGACAAGUUGUUCUGCAGUAAAGUGCAUUAACCAGUUCUGCGGGAGUGUGGGCAGGACCUUAAUAUCGCAGCUCCACUUCGUGCUCACUACUGCGCAGACUCGAUGUCAGCGCCAUAUUGGCACACUGUCAGCUUCACUUACUACAAUGGAAGAGAGUGAAGGUGUGUUGUCACAGUCUAUGGCUUAUAUGUGGAGGAUGAAAUCCAGCAGGAACUGGAAAGUCGCGCGCAGUCCUACGUCACUGGAUUAAUCUUCACGGUACUUUAGACCGCAAUGGAAACGCAGACAGUAACAGGUCUGGGGGGAAAAAGUUCCAGGGACAAUUUGUUCCGAGCGAUUUCGGUGGAAACAAGGCUAUAGUGACCCGGCCACUAUUCUGGAAGAGGAAUGGCUCAGAGUCCAUAUGGCCACUGUGAAGGACUUAUGUCUGUCAUUCCCAAGAUGAACUGAUGUUGUUUGGCCGCAAAAAGAGGCCCUACACCAUACUAAUAAACACCUAAAACCAGGUGUUUCAGUUUCAUUGUCCAACCCCUGUAGAUACACAAUAUGGUACACCAUAUUUUAUGGGGGGAAAAAAGUUGCACCUGAAUGUAAGUGAUACUGGGUCAGAUUUGCUUUUCUGAGAGAGAGGGGAAAAAAAAAAAAAAAACUAGUCACAUUGUAUUAUUACACUCUUAAAUAAUGUAAAAUACUGGUAAUUAAAAUGAAACAUUUACAAACAUUAUAAACACCAUAAACAUGUGUUUUAGUUUCCCUCACUCCACAAAAAAAAUCUUCAAAUUUGAUGGUAUUCAUAAUAAGAAUUAAAAAUAUUAGUAUGAAAAAUAAAUAGUUGACAUUCAUUAUUUAAAAAAACAAAAAACAAACACUGUCUAAACUAAUUUAAAACUAAACAGCUGGCAUGUGGAAAACUUGCACAAACUAUGUUAAUGUUAAAUGUGAGGGGAGAUAAAAAUUGAAACUCACUCUUUACCUUCAUUACCAAAUUAAAAAAAAAAAACCCCCCAAAAAAACAAAGAUGAUUAAUGAUUUCUGUAUUUGAGAUUAUUGUAGGGUGAGCAGCAUGCAAAACAAUACAAAGCCAGCAUAUAGCUUAAUUCAGAUUUAUGAUCUCACGUACCUCUCAUUCUGCAUGAAUCCAAGUGUUUCCAUGUUCUCUACCAUUAUUACUAAAACUUUAUUCUUUGUACUUCACUCACAAAAAAGCAACUUUCACAUGCGCAAAAAUGUUUGGCGUACCUUAACUUUGGAAUAUAAGUCACAACAUGUUUCAGAUGAUAAAAACACAAAACUUGUAUUCCAGAAAAUACAAUACUUUUAAUGCAGACAUGUAGCUUUAACUUAACAACUAUUCUGAGUUUAAUGUUGUAAAAGGAAUUUGCUUUAUUUAAAUGUUAAGUGAUUUACUUUGCAUUCAUUAAAAUAAACAUCAUUAACUUAAAAUAUAAAAAAACUUAUUUUAUUUCAGCUAGUGCUAAAAUAACUAAAACUAAAUCUUAAUUAAAAAAAAAAUACAGACAUAUUUAUUUUAAAAAGCUAAUAAAAUGACAAACAACAAAAUUACUAAAAUGUUAACUAGAAUUAAUAUAUAAAUAUAUAAAAAUAAAUUAACGAAAGUUAUAAUGGUGUUUCACAAAAUCUAUUACCAGUGUUCUUGUGGUUUGAAUGAUCUCAUGUAUAAUUGUUUAAACUUUUUUUUUUUUUUGUUAAACGUGUUAAAAUCAAACGUUAAACAUCAAAUGUUAAUUUUUUUUUUUUUUUUUUUUUUUUUUUUUUUUGGAUUAC